rnacentral:rRNA from 1 species
CGAAAGCCUGAUGCAGCGACGCCGCGUGAGGGAUGACGGCCUUCGGGUUGUAAACCUCUUUCAGCAGGGAAGAAGCGAAAGUGACGGUACCUGCAGAAGAAGCACCGGCUAACUACGUGCCAGCAGCCGCGGUAAUACGUAGGGUGCGAGCGUUGUCCGGAAUUAUUGGGCGUAAAGAGCUUGUAGGCGGUUUGUCGCGUCUGCUGUGAAAAUCCGGGACUCAACCCCGGACUUGCAGUGGGUACGGGCAGACUAGAGUGUGGUAGGGGAGACUGGAAUUCCUGGUGUAGCGGUGAAAUGCGCAGAUAUCAAGAGGAACACCGAUGGCGAAGGCAGGUCUCUGGGCCACUACUGACGCUGAGAAGCGAAAGCAUGGGGAGCGAACAGGAUUAGAUACCCUGGUAGUCCAUGCCGUAAACGUUGGGCGCUAGGUGUGGGACUCAUUCCACGAGUUCCGUGCCGCAGCUAACGCAUUAAGCGCCCC